rnacentral:rRNA from 1 species
UACGAAGGGGGCUAGCGUUGCUCGGAAUGACUGGGCGUAAAGGGCGCGUAGGCGGUCAGCACAAGUCAGUUGUGAAAUCUCCGGGCUUAACUCGGAAAGGUCAACUGAUACUGCUGGGCUAGAGUCCGGAAGAGGCGAGUGGAAUUCCUGGUGUAGCGGUGAAAUGCGCAGAUAUCAGGAGGAACACCGGUGGCGAAGGCGACAUCCUGGACCGGUAUUGACGCUGAGGCGCGAAAGCCAGGGGAGCAAACGGG